AUGUGCUUGAUUGUGGACGGGCCGACUGGAAGGAGGAUUGGGACUGGAAUAAGGCGUAGGGGGUUGUGGUACAUGGACUGUGAGGGGCUUGGUCAGACGGGCAUUCCAGUAUUUGCGGCAAUUGUGGAAGAAAGAGAGUCUGUGGCGAUGAAACAUCACUGCAGAAUGGGGCAUGUAUCAUUUGAUAAAAUGUUCAAGUUGUUUCCAGAUGUAAUGCAUGGAGUCGAUAAGAACAAGCUGAAAUGUGAUGCGUGU
rnacentral:rRNA from 1 species